rnacentral:lncRNA from 1 species
UGUACGACAUUUGCUGGGAUUUUGGAGGCAUCUGGUCUGGCAUUCACUAAGGACACCUAUCGCCGCUUCUGCGCUUUGCAGGGCCUGAGCCUGAGAGGCCCUCAGCGCGGCAACCUCGCUCGAUGAGUCGGGGCUGAAGGUGCACUUAACCUUUGGGUCGGGCGCUGUCUCCAGUGGCGGGAGGUGGGGACGUCUGCGAACUGGGUCAUUUUACGGUUUCUGAUUUACCUGCUGUUGAAGCUAGGCGGACCCCCAGCCUGCUGUUGGUGAGGUUCAGGUCAUUUCUGCCCUUCUCCAAGUUCAAGUUCAAGUUGCUGGGCUUCCUCAGGAGUUGAGCGAGAGGCUGGGACCACUGCGGAGGCCCAUAAGCGGAGUAGCAGAAGGUCUGCUAAUGCGUGGGGGCGGGUAGGCUCAGCGCCUUAGUAAGUAGAGGUGAAUCCAAGGGAGAAAUCGACUGGGGUCUGGGGAUCUGACCUUUAGGUUCAUAUGGUUAGGCCUUAUUUUUGAAUUUGUGGAAGAACUCGGCUUGCAUAUAAUAAAGAUGCCUAUGAUGAUGUAUUUUUGUGAAUUGAUGAAGAGGAAUGUAGACGUCAGUAACAGUUUUGAUAUGCAAUGUAAAAUUUUGCUGUACCUUGAAAAAUGUUAAGAACCUUUGAUUUGGUAAUGUUACUUAUGAGAAUAACAUUGUCAACUCCAAGCGUGCGCAGCAGUCACAAAGAAAUUUGUCAGAGAACCAUAAUGGCAAAAACUAAGAGGAUGGGGAAAUAAGCGUGGUGUUUUUAUGAGAGAAAUAUUAAAUAACCAGGUUUGUGUUUAUGUUCCUUUAUUAUAUGAUUAUGUGUAGCAAAAAAUGUGGAAAAUGUAAGAAAAUACUCCCAACAUGUUAACAGAUUUUCUCCACAUUUAUUUUCCUAUUGUUUUCUGUAUUAAAUCUGAUUUCACUUACCUCGUAGGGGGAGCACUUUUUAAAUAAGAACUCUAUAAUGACGAAGGCUCUGAGAUUUUCUCUUGUUAAAAUGAUGAUGUCUCAUAAAAAAUAAGGCAUCUCGAUUUUUUUUUAAUUGGGAAAUAUUGCUUACUUAUAACAGAGGAAUACUUUAUAACAACAUACUCAAGAACAAUCUCUACCGAUUCCGUGUUUUAAAUAUUCAUUUAAGCUUGGGUCAGAGGAAUCUUCUGACUAUACUGAGAGUUAAAUAAAAUGUAUAAAAUAACUUUCCAUAUAUAAAAUGUUUCAUUUUCUGGAUAUCCUUAAUUCAGAGGAAUUACAAUUGUCUCUUUUCAGGAAAGAGCUUCGGGGCAAAAUCCAUUGCAAAGGUCAUAAGGUGGGAACCCACAUAGCAUGUUGGAAGCCAAUGUGAAGAAAGCCCAGUGAACUUUGGAGAAGAGGAGGAUUAUUGCAGAUUGUUAUAGGAUUAUUGGAUGUUUAAAUGAAAGAGUAAUGGUUUGAUUAAAAAUACCACAGUAGUUUCUAUGGUGUAAGAGUUCUUGGGGGGACCACAUCUGAAAGUAUAGAGAACAGUUAUGGCAGUAACCUAAGUAGAAGACAAUGGAAAUCUGGACCAGAGUGACAGUAAUUGAAGUGGUAAAGUAAUGAUGAAAUUCCAAAUAUAUUUUGAAGAUAAAACUGUAUGAUUUGACAUGAGUUAUAAGAGAAGAGUCAUAGUUUGUUUUUGGCUAGAACAACUGAAAAAAUGAUGUUCUGGUAACCAAAAUGACAAGUGACUAAGACAGCAUAUGUUUGGAAAAAAAGAUGAAAAUUCAUCUUUGAAUCAUGUAUCAAAGAAAAAUGCAAAGUAAAUUUUUUUCUAAUUGAUAAUGCAAACUAGCUACCAAAAUAGGUGAGACGUAGCAAAACAGCCAAUUUAAUAUUUAUAUUAAAAAAGAAAGUUGCUAUUGCCAUUUAAGUUUUAAUCUAAUGAAUGGGAUGACCAUUUUACUAUUUUAUUAACAAAUUUGGUAAGACAUCCUUUUCAAACCUGUUACGUAUCAUUGUAAAACCUCUGUUUUUCCAAAUGUUCCAGAGUGGUGUUUUUAAUACUAGAGAUAGUUUCCUUAGAGAGUUCCAGACCUAGCGUAAUCAAAAGAACUGUUUUAGUCAGGUUUUUUGAUGUGACCAAAAGAUCUGACAAGAACAAUUUCAGAGAAGGAAAAGUUUACUUGGGGCUCCUGGUUUCAGAGGUCUUAGUCCACAACUGACUGACUCCAUUACUCUGGGCUUGAGUUGAGGCAAAACAUUAUGGCAGAAGUGUAUGGAGAAGGAAAACAGCGUAGGACAUGACAAUCAGGAAGGAGGGGGAACUCCCCUUAAAAAGGACAAAAACAUAUAUCCCAAAAGCACACCCCCAGUGACCUACUUCCUUUAGCCAUUGUCUAUGACUACCACCCAGUUAAUCCAUUCAGCUGGAUUAAUGUACUUAUUAGGUUAAGGCUCAUAACUCAAUCAUUUUACGUCUAAAUUUUUUUGCAUUGUCUGACACAUGAGCUUUUGGGGGAUACCUUAUACCUAAACCAUAAGAAAAACAUGCCCCCAAAUAUUUACCUUCUCAUACCUACCUAGACAUCAUUAAAUUUUUCUUAGUUGAUCCCUUAGUUUCAUUUGUCAAUGAGAGAAACAUUUCACAGAGCACAAGAAGCCCUUAUCUGAAAAUAUGGCAAAUUCUCAAGAGGCAAGUUGACCCUUAAUUUAUAAUUAAAGAUGGUGUGGAACAAGUAUGUUUCAAGCUGUGCAGGUAAGCAAAUGGUAUAGUGAGAAUAACCAUCAUGGUCUGUGAAGCCAGAAGUGAGAAGCCCAUCCUUAAACAUUUACAAGCUUUAUAGGAUCAUUUGGAUAGCAUGAAAUGUGUUUGGAAACAUAAUAAACUAGAAGAUACAAUGCAAUUGUUGUUUAUUAGUGAUUUGAAAAAUAUAAUAUCCCUUGAAGCAUUUCUGUUCUCUGUUCUUUUUUAUUGCUAAAGAAAAAUGUCCCUAAGAGAUUAACCUUUUUUUAAAAUUGAUUUUUUUAAAAUAAAUGACAGUGGAAUGUAUUACAAUUCUUAUUACACAUAUGGAGCACAUUUUUUCAUAUCUCUGGUUAUAUAUAAAGUAUGUUCACACCAAUUCAUGUCUUCAUAUAUGUACUUUAGAUAAUGAUGUCCAACACAUUCCACCAUCCUUGCUAACCCCCCGCCCCCUCCCUUCCCCUCCCAUCCCUCUGCCCUAUCUAUAAUUCAUCCAUUCCUCCCAUGCUCCCACUCCCUACCCCGCUAUGAAUCAGCUUCCUUAUAUCAGAGAAAACAUUUGCCAUUUGUUUUUUUGGGAUUGGCUAACUUCACUUAGUGUUAUCUUCUCAAAUGCCAUCCAUUUACCUGCAAAUGUCAUGAUGCUGAGUAAUAUUCCAUUGUGUAUAUAGGCCACAUAUUUUUAAUCCAUUCAUCUACUGAAGGGUAUCUAGUUUAGUUCCACAGUUCAGCUGUUGUGAAUUGUGCUGCUAUAAACAUUAAUGUGGCCGUGUCCCUGUAGUAUGCUGUUUUUAAGUCCUUUGAGUAUAGACCAAGGAGAGGGAUAGCUGGGUCAAAUGGUGGUUCCAUUCCCAGUUUUCCAAGGAAUCUCCAAACUGCUUUCCAUAUUGGCUGCAUCAAUUUGCAGUCCUAUCAGCAAUGUGUGAGUGUACCUUUUUCCCCACAUCCUUGUCAACACUUAUUGUUUGUCUUCAUAAUAGCUGCCAUUCUGACUAGAGAGAGAUGAUAUCUGAGUAGUUUUGAUUUGCAUUUCUCUAAUUGCUAGAGAUGAUAAACAUUUUUUCAUAUAUUUCUUGAUAGAUUGUAUAUCCUCUUCUGAGAAGUGUCUGUUCAGGUCUUGGCCCAUUUAAUUGAUUGGGUUAUUUAUUUAUUUAUUUAUUUAUUUUGGUGCUUAGCUUCUUUUUGAGUUCUUUCAUCACUAUACUAGACUUUAUACUACAGAGCAAUAGUAACAAAAAUAACAUGGUAUUGGCACCAAAACAGACUGGUAGACCAAUGGUACAGAAUAGAGAACACAGACUAACCCACAAAAUUACAAUUAUUGUAUUAGACAAAGGUGCCAAAAACAUGCAUUGGAGAAAAGAUAGCCUCUUCAACAAAUGGUGCUGGGAAAACUGGAAAUGUAUAUGCAACAAAGUGAAAUUAAACCCCUGUCUCUCACCAUACACAAAAACUGAACUUAAAGUGAAUCAAGGACCUAGGAAUUAAACCAGAGACUCUGUCUAAUAGAAGAAAAAGUAGGCCCUAAUGUUUAUCAUCUGGGAUUAGGCCCCAACUUCCUUAAUAAGACUCCUAUAGUGCAAGAAUUAAAACCAAGAAUCAAUAAAUGGGAUGGAUUCAAACUAAAAAGUAUUUUUGUUUUGUUUUGUUUUCUCAGCAAAAGAAACAAUCUGUGAGGUGAAUAGAGAGCCUACAUCUUGGGAAUAAUUUUUCACCCCUUAGGCAUCAGAGCACUAAUUUCUAGGGUAUACCUAAGAGAGUAACCUUAAUCAUUUGGAUUCAUCUUAGUUUCUUCUGUGGAUAAUGCAAACUCAAUUAUCUUUUAAUAUUAUGUCUUUAAAUUUUGUUUUGGUGUUUAUUUUUGCUUUCCUAUGCCUAUGAGUUCUCGAUCUUACACUACUCUUAGAAGCUCAGAAUUGAGAAUUCCUUUUUUAAUGUUUAAUUUAAUUUUCCUACCAUUCAUGUGGGUAAUGUUUCAUUUACCCAGGUAUCUCAAAGGCUUUUCAGCAGUCAUAAAUACAAAUAACUAUGUAAAAUUUUGAUUGGAGGUGGGAAUCUCAGUAAUACUUCUAGCCUAACUGAUCUCCCCACUUUCACCCUUAUCUCACAGUCUACUCUGACUCAAUCCAGCAGCCAGAAUGAUCUUGUUACAGUGUCAUGAGGUGAGAUUACUCCUUUGCUCAUAACUGCACCUCACCCACGUCUCGGGUUAAAGGUCUAUAUCUUUACAAAUGUAGGUCCUGUAGAAUCUGGCUCCCUGAUGCUCUCCUGCAACACUUCUUUCCUCUCUGACCUUAACCUGUUACUUACACUUCUGCUCCAGCCACACUAACCUAUUUGCUGCACUUCAGACAUGCAAGAUAAUCUCUCCAAAGGUCUUUGCACUCACUCUUUCCACUGGACUAAUGUUCCUUCUGUGACCACAUAAGCCAUCCCCUCGUAGUCUUUCCUCAAAGGCAGAAAUUUUAUUUGGUGCUAUAUUUUAGCACAUAUACCAGUACCUAAAACAAAGUAGUCACUCAGAAAAAGUAUUUACACUCAGAAUGAAUAAGCCCAGUGGAGGGGUAAUGGUAUGAUGUUAAGCACUGGACCAGGGAUUGUAAAACCAGGUUUUGGAUCUUUGCAAUUACUUUAACACAUGAAUUUGGGUAAGGUACCACAUCGCUGGGUCUCACCUUCUCCAUCUAUAAAAUGAGGGCUUUGUGUAAGAUGAUUUAAAAGUUUCUUUGCAGAGGUAAGAGCUAAUAAUUUCUCAAGAUCUUGUUCAUUUUGGAGCCAAUUGUAUGGAAUCAAACUUUAAGACCACAGUUAAUUUCUUUGACCCAAAGUCUCAUAGCUAAAAGGAAUAAUAUUUUAUGUGUAAUAUUUUAUCUCCUAGUAGCCUCAGGAUAAUGCUCUUGAGCCAUAUAUCAGAAGGGGAUCUCAAUUCUGGGCAAAAACAAAGCAAGGACCACAAGAGUUUUGUGUGAACUAUGCUUUCAACAUGACCUUGCAUGUAAGAACAGGUGAGCAGACAAAAAAUAAAAUUUGUACAUUUUUCUUUUCUUUCACCUAGAACACUUUGGUAAUUUUAUCUUUGCUAUCAUCAUCAUCACCAUCAUCAUCACUGUAUUAUUGUUAAUCUCUCUCAUACACACAUACCCUCUUAUGCUUUGGAUUUAAAAGGGACUAGGUGGGAAGGAGGAAAAAUCAAAGGAGCAAAAGAAAAUAGGGCUACUGAAAUACAAAGCAAAUGCCUUAAAAUGUAUAGAAGAAAAAUGAACUUAAGAGUUAAAACAAACAUUUAAAGUAAUUAAUUCUUUGGCUUCCUGUGAUAAAAGUGACUCAGGGUCGCCCCUAAGGUAUGAAAGAUCUAGAUGGCAAACAUUUGGAGGGAAAACCUAGCUUCAGAUUUAGUUGCUUUUAGUUGAUUUUAAACAUCACCAAUUUUGGAGAUCACACAGCUGAGCAAUAGAUCAUUAGCCUUCCACUAGGUUUGCUAUGGAUUACAUCUCUGAUGAACAGGUCGUGAUAAUGGUUAUCUAAGUUACUUUUCAGGGACUUAAAGAUCAUCUUUGUUGAAGCCAUCAACUCUUCACUUGAGCCUGCAUGUGUCCAAUGGAUGACCUUUUGACAUCAGGGCCCCCAUAAACUUCAUACUCAGAUCAUUCUAAUGCCACUAAUUUCUGAACAGACUUCCUAUGAAGAGCUAUGAAGGCUGAUUACACAUGUGCACAUCCCUAAUUAUCUCAUCUCCAAUCACCUGUCCACAUAUCUUAAAUAUCCUGAUUCUUUAUGUCAUAAAUAUCCCCAAACCCCAUCCUUUGGAUGUAGAUUUGAGACUUGGGUCACCUAUCUCUAUACUUCGCCAUCUUGAAAAUAAAUUAUUGCAAAAUUCGUUGUUUCAGCAAUUGGUGUACUUUACAGUGGGCAAAUGGGCCUUGUUAAAAAACCGGGCUCUCAGUCUAUUUAAACACUUAGUUAAUUAAAUUGAAAAUAUUUUGAAACAAUUCAUAGGCCUCUGUAAGAUAUAAUAAACUUAUUGAUGAAGACUUAGAAUAAAUUAUAAUAAGGCAAGGUACAUAAACAUUUGUUUAGUCAUUCUGAGAAUUCUCCAUAGUGUACAUUUACCAUCUCUUCCUGUUGAGGUUAAAGAACCAUCUGUUCAUGUUCUUUUUUUUUUUUUUAUUUUUUAAGUCGUAGUUGGACACAUG